UAGGGAAUCUUCGGCAAUGGGGGGAACCCUGACCGAGCAACGCCGCGUGAGUGAAGAAGGUUUUCGGAUUGUAAAGCUCUGUUGUUAAGGAAGAACGAGUGUGAGAAUGGAAAGUUCAUACUGUGACGGUACUUAACCAGAAAGGGACGGCUAACUACGUGCCAGCAGCCGCGGUAAUACGUAGGUCCCGAGCGUUGUCCGGAUUUAUUGGGCGUAAAGCGAGCGCAGGCGGUUAGAUAAGUCUGAAGUUAAAGGCAGUGGCUCAACCAUUGUAGGCUUUGGAAACUGUUUAACGUGAGUGCAGAAGGGGAGGGUGGAAUUCCAUGUGUAGCGGUGAAAUGCGUAGAUAUAUGGAAGAACACCGGUGGCGAAAGCGGCUCUCUGGUCUGUAACUGACGCUGAGGCUCGAAAGCGUGGGGAGCGAACAGG
rnacentral:rRNA from 1 species